rnacentral:rRNA from 1 species
AAUGGGGGGAACCCUGAUCCAGCCAUGCCGCGUGUGUGAAGAAGGCCUUUUGGUUGUAAAGCACUUUAAGCGAGGAGGAGGCUACCGAGACUAAUACUCUUGGAUAGUGGACGUUACUCGCAGAAUAAGCACCGGCUAACUCUGUGCCAGCAGCCGCGGUAAUACAGAGGGUGCGAGCGUUAAUCGGAUUUACUGGGCGUAAAGCGUGCGUAGGCGGCUGAUUAAGUCGGAUGUGAAAUCCCUGAGCUUAACUUAGGAAUUGCAUUCGAUACUGGUCAGCUAGAGUAUGGGAGAGGAUGGUAGAAUUCCAGGUGUAGCGGUGAAAUGCGUAGAGAUCUGGAGGAAUACCGAUGGCGAAGGCAGCCAUCUGGCCUAAUACUGACGCUGAGGUACGAAAGCAUGGGGAGCAAACAGGAUUAGAUACCCUGGUAGUCCAUGCCGUAAACGAUGUCUACUAGCCGUUGGGGCCUUUGAGGCUUUAGUGGCGCAGCUAACGCGAUAAGUAGACCGCCUGGGGAG